AGAUGCGUUCAUAUCUCCGGCAAAGCACUGCAUCCCGUCCGAUUUGCAAAGUUAAGCCCAGCAAAGCCUGGUUAGUAUUGCGGUGGUUGACCAUGUGCGAAUCCUGGGUAAUGUAUCUU
rnacentral:rRNA from 1 species